UUUUCAAACCAAACACGGUUUGGAGUGUGGAAAUAAGAAGGCAGGAAUGAACAACAAAUGGUUAUGGAAUCUGUUUCAUGGAGAUCCGUGGACAGGAUAUGUCUGCCACCACACCUGCAGAGGUGAACAGCGCGGACCACAGGGGAGAAGGAGGAGCAAUCGGGGCAGAGGACGGAGGAUAAACAGCAACAGACGACGACGAGAGAGACCAGACCAGAGAUGAGCCCGCGAGGAAGACGCAGUCACCGGUGACCAAAAGGCGAGCCGAGACGAGCAGCAAAGGAGGUCACGCUGGAAAUCGGCACGACCGACUGGGACACAAGAAUGUUUAUUGAAACAAUAAACAAGAGUCAACCUUG